CUGCUGCCUCAAGGUGGAUUGUAUCCAUAAGCCUAACCUGCUAUGUGCUUUUAUAACAAGUUAAAACAAGAAACGUACAGGAAGUUUUGAUUUGAAUAUAGUAAAUAUAAUCCUCG